AGGCUCCCCGGCCGCACUCACCGCCGCGCUCCGCGCCUGCGCCGCACGCCUCAGGGGCCCGCCGAGAGGGCGGGGAGGUGACGAGUGAUGAAAACCAGGCGGCGGGCCUGGGAAAGAGGAGGUGGUUUUGCCUGCCAAGCCUUGCUUCCACUAGCGUCGUGCUCUUGCCUCCAGAGCCUUUCGCGCUGGCGGCAGCUGGACAUCAGCUCACUGUUGGCUAAGCCGACUCUACUGAGAACAAGCUCAUAGAAAAGCCUGAAAAAUUUCUGAGAAUAACUUCAUCUGAUGUUCAAGUAACUUCCUAAGGCGAUCCAACUUUAACUGCAUCAGCGUCACUAGGAGGAUUGAACGUGUGACUCCUGCACAGAAGUCUUAACCACUGGACCACCAGGGAGGUCUCUAUUUAAUAUUUCUAACAGAGUUAACAAAAAAGGGGUAUUUCUAAAAAAUGUGAUAUACAUAAGUCACCUGGAAGUCUUAUUUUUUGAAAACUAUUCAUAGGAGGUUGCACACACAAUAUAGAGAGGUCCUAUGUACCCAUCACUCAGUUUCUCCAAGUGGUUAAAGUUUUUGUUAAAUUUAGUACAGUGUCCAAACCAGGAAAUUGAUACAGUGCGUUUGUAUAGCCCUAUGGCGUUUUAUCACCUAUGGAGAUUCCUGUCACUAUAACUGCAAUCAAAAUACAGAACUAUACCAUAGCCAUCAAGAUGCCCCCUUAUGCCACCUCCUCAAAAUCACACGCACCCCUUUCCUCCCAUUUAACAUUUAACCUCUGAAAGUGAGUAAUCUAUGCUCCAUCUGUUUUUUUUUAAUUUUGAAAAUUUUAUAUACCUGGGAUCAUACAAUAAUAUGUGGCCUUUUGAGAUUGUUUUCCUCAUUCUGCCUAAUGCCCUUAGGAUCCAAGGUGUUGGGUGCAAAAGAGUUUUCUUUCUUAUUUUGAAAUAAAUAUAAAUUCACAAGAUAUUGCAAAAAUAGUACCAAGAAACCCUGUGUACCUUUCACCCAGUUUUUCCCAUGGUACCAUCUUAGAUAAUUAUAGUAUAAUAUCAAAAGUUGCAAUCCACAACUUAUUCAGGUUUCACCAGCUUUAUUUCCACUCAUUUGUGCAUGCUUGUGCCUGUUUAUAGUUCUAUGCAAUGUUUUUCCCUUGUGAAAUUUUAUUUUACUUUUUAAGAUUACACUGUACUACAUUUAAGUUUAUUCUAAUAUAUCCUUGUAGCUUACUUGUUUUGUACAUAGUAGUUUGUACCUCUUAAUCCCCCACCCCAAUAUUACCUCCCCCUUUCCCUCCUUUUCCAUUGAUAACCACUAGUUUGUUCUCUAGGAGUCUGUUUCUGAUUUUGUUAUAUUCAUUCAUUUGAUUUAUUUUCUAGAUUCCGUAUAUAAGUGAUAUCAUAUAGUAUUUGUCUUUCUUUGUCUGAUUUAUUUCAUUAAGCAUAAUACCCUCUAGGUCCAUCCAUGUUGUUGCAAAUUGCAAAAUUUCAUUCUUUGUUUCUGGCUGAAUAGUAUUCUGUGUGUGUGUGUGUGUGUGUGUGUGUGUGUGUGUGUGUACAUAUAACACAUCUUCAUUAUCCAUUUUAUCUGUUGGUGGACACUUAGGUCUAUAUCUUGGCAAUUUUAAAUAAUGCUGCUGUGAACAUAUGGAUGUGAGAGUUGGACUAUAAAGAAAGCUGAGUGACGAAGAAUUGAUGCUUUUGAACUGUGGUGUUGGAGAAGACUCUUGAGAGUCCCUUGGACUACAAGGAGAUUCAACCUGUCCAUCCUAAAGGAGAUCAGUCCUGCGUGUUCAUUGGAAGGACUGAUGUUGAAGCUGAAACUCCAAUACUUUGGCCACCUGAUGCAAAGAGCUGACUCAUUUGAAAAGACCCUAAUGCUGGGAAAGAUUGAGGGCAGGAGGAGAAGGGGACGACAGAGGAUGAGAUGGUUAGAUGGCAUCACCAACUCGAUGGACAUGGGUUUGGGUGAACUCUGGGAGCUGGUGCUGGACAGGGAAGCCUGGUGUGUUGCAGUGCAUGGGGUUGCAAAGAGUCGGACACGACUGAGUGACUAAACUGAACGGAACUAAACUAUUGGGGUGUGGGUAUUUUUUUGAAUUCGUGUUUUCAUUUUCUUUGGAUAUAUAACCAAGAGUGGAAUUGCUGUAUUGUGUGGUAGUUCUAUUUUGGUUUUUUGAGGAAACUCCCUACUCCUUUCCAUAGUGACUGCACCAAUUUACAUUUCUACCAACAAUGUACAAGGGUUCCAUUUUUCCACACACUCGCUAGCAUUUAUUAUUCAUAAACUUUUUGAUGAUGGCCAUUUUGAUCAGUGUGAGGUGAUAGAUACUUCAUUGUGAUUUUGAUUUGUAUUUCCCUAAUAAUUAGUGGUGAUGAGCAUCUUUUUAUGGCUAUCUCUUGGCUAUCUGUAUGUCAUCUUUGGAGAAAUGUCUGUUUAGGUCUUUUGCCCCAUUUUUUGACUGGAUGGUUGUUUUUUUGUUAUUGAGUUGUAUGAGCUUUUGAUGUGUUUUGUUUAAUUAAUCCCUCGUCAGUCAUAUUUUCUCCCAUUCCAUAAAUAAGUUAUUUUUUUGUUUUGUUGAUGGUUUCUUUUACUGUGUGAUAACUUUUAAAUUUGAUUAGGUUCAAUUUGUUUAUUUUUACUUCUAUUUCUUUUGCCUUGGGAGAGUCAUCUAAGAAGAGAUUACUAAGAUUUAUGUCAAAGAAUGUCUUACCUAUGUUUUCUUCUAGGAGUUUUAUGGCUUUAUGUCUUACAUUUUCAUCUUUAAUCUAUCUUUUAAAAAAUAUUUAUUUAUUCAUUUAUUUGGCUGUAUUGAGUCUUAGUCACAGCUGCAUGUAGUCUCCCUGGACUAGGGAUUGAACCUGCAUCGUCUGCACUGCAAGGCAGGUUCUUUACACUGAGCCGCCAGGGACGCCCUUUAAUCCAUUUUGAAUUUGUUUUUAUAUAUGGGUGAGAAAAUGUUCUAAUUUCAUUCUUUCACAGGGAGCUCUCCAGGCUUUUCAGCACCAUUCGUUGUAGAGAUUAUCUUUUCUCCAUUGUAUAUACUUGGAGAAAUAUACAUGGUGCCCUGGUGUUUUGAUUACUGUAGCUUUGUAGUAUAGUCUGAAAUUUGGAAGGUUUUAUCUCCAGCUUUGUUCUUUUUUUCUCCAGAUUGCUUUGGCAAUUCUGGGUCUUCUGUGGUUCUAUAUAAAUUUUAGGAUUAUUUGUUCUAGUUCUGUGGAAAAUGUCAUGAGUGUUUUGCUACAGAUUGCACUAAAUCUAUAGAUUCCCUUGAGUAGUAUAGAAACCUCUGAGCUAGGCUUUGUUUCACUCAGCAUGAUGCCCUUGAGGUCCAUCCAAGUUGCUGCAUGUUAUCAGUAGAUUGUUCCCUUUUAUUGCUGAAUGGUAGCCCAUGUUAUGGACACAUCUCCACAACAUGGACUAGCAGAGUGUCUAGCAUUGCUAGACACUUUUGCUUGUUUCCAGUUUGGGCUAUCAGAAAGGAAUCUACUAUAAAUAAUUCUGUACAUAAAUUGUGUAAAAGUUUUGGAAAAGCCUAAUCUCCAGACUGAGUGAAUCAAUCUCAGGAGUGAAGCCUAGGCAUCGACAGCUUUUAAAAGUUUCCCAGAUAAUUCUCAUAUGCAUUAAGGAUUUCUCAAAUUGUAAAUUCUGCCAAAAUCAUUUAUUAGUA